ACGCUGGCGGCACGCCUAACACAUGCAAGUCGAACGAAGUAGCAAUACUUAGUGGCAGACGGGUGAGUAACAUGUAGGUAUCUGCCCUUUGGCCUGGAAUAACACGAGGAAACUUGUGCUAAUACCGGAUAAGUCUUUACGGAGAAAGCUUUAUGCACCAAUUGGAUGAGCCUGCACUUGAUUAGUUUGUUGGUAGGGUAAUGGCCUACCAAGACUGUGAUCAAUAGCUGAUUUGAGAGGAUGAUCAGCCACAUUGGGACUGAGACACGGCCCAAACUCCUACGGGAGGCAGCAGUGGGGAAUCUUGCACAAUGGAGGAAACUCUGAUGCAGCGAUGCCGCGUGAGUGAAGAAGGCCCUUGGGUUGUAAAGCUCUUUCGUCGGGGAAGAAAAUGACUGUACCCGAAUAAGAAGGUCCGGCUAACUUCGUGCCAGCAGCCGCGGUAAUACGAAGGGACCUAGCGUAGUUCGGAAUUACUGGGCUUAAAGAGUUCGUAGGUGGUUGAAAAAGUUGGUGGUGAAAUCCCAGAGCUUAACUCUGGAACUGCCAUCAAAACUUUUCAGCUAGAGUUUGAUAGAGGAAAGCAGAAUUUCUAGUGUAGAGGUGAAAUUCGUAGAUAUUAGAAAGAAUACCAAUUGCGAAGGCAGCUUUCUGGAUCAUUACUGACACUGAGGAACGAAAGCAUGGGUAGCGAAGAGGAUUAGAUACCCUCGUAGUCCAUGCCGUAAACGAUGUGUGUUAGACGUUGGAAAUUUAUUUUCAGUGUCGCAGCGAAAGCGAUAAACACACCGCCUGGGGAGUACGACCGCAAGGUUAAAACUCAAAUGAAUUGACGGGGACCCGCACAAGUAGUGGAGCAUGUGGUUUAAUUCGAAGAUACGCGCAGAACCUUACCAACACUUGACAUGUUCGUCGCGACUCUAAGAGAUUAGAGUUUUCGGUUCGGCCGGACGAAACACAGGUGCUGCAUGGCUGUCGUCAGCUCGUGUCGUGAGAUGUUGGGUUAAGUCCCGCAACGAGCGCAACCCUCACUUUUGGUUGCCAUCAUUAAGUUGGGCACUCUGAAAGAACUGCCAGUGAUAAGCUGGAGGAAGGUGGGGAUGACGUCAAGUCCUCAUGGCCCUUACGUGUUGGGCUACACACGUGCUACAAUGGUAUCUACAACAGGAAGCAAGACGGCGACGUUAAGCAAAUCCUUAAAAGAUACCUCAGUUCGGAUUGCACUCUGCAACUCGAGUGCAUGAAGCUGGAAUUACUAGUAAUCGUGGAUCAGCGUGCCACGGUGAAUGCGUUCCCGGGUCUUGUACACACCGCCCGUCACACCAUGGGAGUUGGUUCUACCUUAAGGCAAGGCUUUAAACCCUUGACCACGGUAUAGUCAGCGACUGGGGUGAAGUCGUAACAAGGUAGCCGUAGGGGAACCUGCGGCUGGAUUACCUCCUUUCU
rnacentral:rRNA from 1 species